AGGAUCGUGUUCCUGUAUUCCCCGAUGGCCGUCCCAGAGAACAGUGGUAAUUUUCAGAAAAGCUCUCAAGCUUUGAGUUUUUUUCAUGCAAAAUGGCACCUGUCGUGGAAUUUGAUUUGGACUGGCUGAUUUGUAACUAAUGCUUUAUGCAAAGAGUUUGAUAGCUUGUAAGAAUAUAUAUAAUAUAUAUUCUGUUACUAAAAUGAGCAGCAUUCUUCAUUGCCCCUUCACAAUUCCUGAAUUUGCUCUAUGAACAACAAUGCAGCAUAUGUAACAACAGAUGCUACUCAGAAAUUUUCUGUAGAUGCUUAUAUCUAUAACUUGCUUUUACUGUAACGAUAUUUAUAUUUCUUUAGUUUAUAUGUUUUAUUAUAAGGAAGCUUUUGAUAGAUCUUUUUGUAAGGUACUUAAUGUUUUUAUGAAGCCAUUGUUUUUUCUCUUAUGUGUGGUAUUUUCAUUAGCAAGAAAGUAGAGACAGUAAAAUUGUAAUAUUAUAGUAUCUUUUAAUCAAAAUGAAGAAAAAUAACUACUUUCUUUGAUCUUAGUAAUUUAGUUAAAGUUGUCUUGUAAUAAAGACAAUAAGAAGUGUAUCUUGUUUUAUCACUUCCUUGUUUGUCAUGUUUGUCAUAUGUAUUAUGUGUCUACCUAUAUCACUAUAUACCAUUUACUUGGCAUUGGUCUAGUGGGGUAAGGCUUUGCUAGAUCCUCGGGAUGACCAAAAGGUCAAGAGUUCGAUUCCUGGGAGCGACACUUGUUAGGAGGGGCAGUCAUGGGCCUCGAAAAAGGAUUAGUUCCUUACUCAAAAAGGUGACGGGAUACUCUUGGUAGUACCAAAAAAAAUAAUUAUCUUGUAUUUAAUACUUGGAACUGCAUGAGGUUAAUGAAACCUAAUUGGGCCACCUAUCAGUAAUUCAGUAUAUUGAACCAAAAUUCAAAUGCUUAUGCAGAAUCUUCAAAAGUUUGCUAAAAUGCUCAACCUUGCAAAUGCUACAUGAGUUUUCAGAAUUACAAUAACAAGUUACAUGUCAAUACUUCUAAGUUACAUUCUUCUUCUAUAUGAAUAGAAGUUCAUCUCAUUCUUGCCUUCAAUAGUGCUGCCCUGACAUAAACCCAAUCUGCUAUGUUGUUCAAUAGCCUGAAAUAGUUAUGCCUCCAAGAAUCCUUAACAAGGAGAGAUAGUACCACUCCCCAAAAUGCAAUGAUGAAUCCAAGAACCAUGCUAAUAUAAAACCAUACUGAUAACAUGAACAAUCCUGUUUCACUAGUUUCCUUCUUCUCAGGAUCAGUCAUAAAAUCUGGUGAGUGAUUUUGAGUGGCACAUGGUGAUAAUGGUAUACCACAAAGGCCAGAGUUGUUUUCAUAUGAAGAUGAAGGGAAAGAGGGAAACUGGCCUUCAUAAGGAAUAGAACCUGUAAGGUUAUUAUUAGACACAUCAAGUGCAGUGAGAAAAGACAAUCUUCCUAAGGAACUAGGAAUGGAUCCUGAUUCUCAAUUGGUAGAUAAGGAUCGUUUAUUGCUCAUAAAGGAAAAGCUUCGUGCUCUUGUUAAUGUUCCACGGUUUUCCAAAGGACCCUCUCGCAGAAGAGUUGGAGAUGGCACGGAAGACAAUGAUGGACGAGAAGAUGAAGUUGAUGCUGAAGGAGAAGAAGAAUGGUCAGAUACUGAUAAUUUAAUAGAUGGUGAAUUUGACGACAAUGAUGAUGAUGAUGAUGAGUGGAGUGAUGAAGAUGAUGAUACACCACCAGAUUUUGACGAGGAUGUUGGAACACCGGAGAUUGGAAGAAGAAAGCUGAGUAAACAAGUUGAUGAGACGACACAGAAUGCUGAGAAGGAUCGUGUUCCUGUAUUCCCCGAUGGCCGUCCCAGAGAACAGUGGUAAUUUUCAGAAAAGCUCUCAAGCUUUGAGUUUUUUUCAUGCAAAAUGGCACCUGUCGUGGAAUUUGAUUUGGACUGGCUGAUUUGUAACUAAUGCUUUAUGCAAAGAGUUUGAUAGCUUGUAAGAAUAUAUAUAAUAUAUAUUCUGUUACUAAAAUGAGCAGCAUUCUUCAUUGCCCCUUCACAAUUCCUGAAUUUGCUCUAUGAACAACAAUGCAGCAUAUGUAACAACAGAUGCUACUCAGAAAUUUUCUGUAGAUGCUUAUAUCUAUAACUUGCUUUUACUGUAACGAUAUUUAUAUUUCUUUAGUUUAUAUGUUUUAUUAUAAGGAAGCUUUUGAUAGAUCUUUUUGUAAGGUACUUAAUGUUUUUAUGAAGCCAUUGUUUUUUCUCUUAUGUGUGGUAUUUUCAUUAGCAAGAAAGUAGAGACAGUAAAAUUGUAAUAUUAUAGUAUCUUUUAAUCAAAAUGAAGAAAAAUAACUACUUUCUU
rnacentral:lncRNA from 1 species